UAUCAAAAAGGGAAAAACUUAUAAUAAAUACUGCAACAUCAAGUCUUCUUUUAAAUCGGCAGUAAGUGGCCAUUUUCUGCAGACAAAAAAGGCAAAGAAAAAACGACACAGAGAAACUUUUGAACCUGAAGACAAUGCAGAAAGCAUCAUUCGUUGUUUAAAAUAUGGUAAUUUGGGUGUUAAGGAAUCCGACCAAUGUUGGAGGGCAUGUUCUAAAUACCGCUUGAUUCAAAUAAAGAAGCUUGCUUCAACAAAAUCUAUACCUAAUGGAACAUGGAAGCAAGGUCAUUUUAUAAAACUUCUUCGGGAUAUAGCUUGCUAUGUGAUUGAUUACGAAUAAAGAAUAAAUUUGU
rnacentral:lncRNA from 1 species